rnacentral:rRNA from 1 species
CAAUAGCGUAUAUUAAAGUUGUUGCGGUAAAAAAGCUCGUAGUUGGAUUUCUGUUGGGGGAGCACAGUUCAGACCUUGUCUGAAAUUGGUCUCUCCUCGGCAUCCUCUCGCACGCCUAGUGCGCUUAAUUGCGCGUUAGGACGUCGAGACUUUUACUUUGAGGAAAUUAGAGUGUUCACAGCAAGCUUAUGCAGGAAUACACUAGCAUGGAAUAAUACUAUAGGAUCUUGAUUUCUAUUUUUGGUUUCUAGGAUUGAGAUAAUGAUUAAUAGGGGCAUUUGGGGGCAUCUGUAUCGCUGCGUCAGAGGUGGAAUUCUUGGAUUGCAGCACGACAGACUACUGCGAAAGCAUUUGCCCAGGAUGUUUUCAUUGA